rnacentral:rRNA from 1 species
GUUGAUAGGCAGGGUGUGUAAGUGCUGUGAGGCAUUGAGCUAACCUGUACUAAUUGCCCGUGAGGCUUAACCAUACAACACCCAAAGGGUUUUG